CUGGGCAGCCAGCUUCCUUCUCCAUUAGGUAGCUCCCCUUUGAAGCACUCAGGUCCUGUUUGAACUUGAAGGUUGAGUAACACCCGCUGUCCUGAUGGACUCGUUUUCUGGCCAGGCUUCCUCCUGCCACAGCUGAUCUGCAUUUUCUCCCUUCCACUUUGGCUUUUUUGACCCUAAGAAAUACUGAAGAUCAGCCUGAAGGUACCUGUAGACACGAAAGAAACUCUCAGCUCCGACAGACAGAGAGAGAUUUUUCAUGGGGUUUGUCUUUUUGCCUGCCUGGCUUCCUUCCUCUUUCUCUCCACCGUUUUGAAGAAUGGCAUGGAAGAUGGAGGAAUGAACUUCCACCUUAAAACGAGACUCAAUAACCUACACCCAUCGAAGAAAGACUUGUUCCACAAGCCCCUUCUUAGAUGGCCCCGGGACCUGGAUGAUGAUACGUGGCAAUGACUGUCAUCCAAAAACUCCACAGUGCUUCCCCUGCGUACCUGUGGCUCUCCUGCUUGGUGACACCACUGUUUGUGUGUUAGUUAGACUGGAGGUGCUUGAGAGUAGCUCUGUGUCUAAGUCAGCUCAGAGUCCCCCUGGGGGCCCAGCACAGGGCCUGGUACUUGGGAUGAGCGCAAUGAAUGGAGUUGGUUGAAUGAAUGAGUUAAUACUGUCUAAUUGCUCCCAAGCGUCUUUAAUUAUGGUCCUUGAUGCCUCACUUCCUUGCCUUAUUUAUACUCUUUUCUUGAUACCUUUUAAUAUAGAAUAUACACACAUGUGCACAUGUACCCCCCUGCCCCCAACAUACACGCAUGCACACUGACCUUAUAUAUAUGCACAGCAGAACCUGACUAAAAAAUUUAGUGGGGACACUCUCACACUUGUUAAGACAGUUCACAAAACCAUAAAAAAAUGAUCGAUUGCUUAGUCUGGCCCCUUGCACAUUUGAGCAUGAUGGAAUCCUUUGAUAGUGUCUGAUUUCAGAGCACACCUGUAGGCCUAGCGACAGCCUGCGCUCCUGAGUGGGUUUGGGAAAGAACUUAUUUAUUGUAAAGCUAAAAUUAAAUUACACGUUUUUACAUGCUGUUUAGCGGCAGCAGCUGGUGCAAACCUUUGUCAAAGCAGAACUCUUCACACUUCAGGUUUCAACUUCAGUGAGUGGAUUACUGUGUAAAACUGUUGUUGGUUUUUGGCAUUAAAAAUGAAUAAACUAAC